GAGCAAAAGAAGGCGGGGAGAGUAUGUGACGUGACUGAACCGCCAAGGAAAUACUACCAACAUCCCCACCACCAUGUGUCUUUGUCAGUUAAUAAUGACAACACUACAAGCAGCAAUAGUAAGCACCCCAUAUACGAUGCCGUUCCACCUCCUAAUCCCAAGAGAUUACCUGUUCGACCUCCUAAACCUGUUGAUGAAGAUCUCUACAAAAUCCCCCCUGAGCUCCUUCACUCUUCCAAGCGAGUAUGUCCUCUUCCCGCUCUCUUCUUUUAUCUUUAUUUUUUUAAGUGAGUAUAAGUAGGUAAAUAAAUUAAAUGUAUCACUUUGAAUCCAACAUUUAAUCUCUUGGUCAAGAAUGUUUACUAUAUCUCUGAAGUCAUGGGAUGGAUUUACAGGCUAUGCCUGUGUGAUAGUUUAAAUAAAUUUAAGAUUCCAUUGUAUAAAAAAAACAUCACAUGAUAGGCCAAUUCCUUCAAAGGUCACCGGCUUGAAUCUGUUCACAUGGACAUAUAAUGAGGGGAACAUUGAUUUCUUGUCAACACACAAGUCUUUGUCAUCCCAUUCCAAGUUUGAAAACCCCCUCAAAUUCCGCUAUAAAUUAAUUAAUCAUAAAGAAAUAUUUGUGGGGGUUUUUUUUGUUUUUUAAUUCCUUAAAACCUUGGGCCAAGGUUUAGUAGCUGAAAGUUGCCCAUCUCUUUCUAAUUUGUUGUAUUACCCAACCCAUGGUUUCCUUGAGCCAUUCAUUCUUUUCUUCUAAUGAUAAAAAAGGAUCACGUAUAUUAAAAUUUUGAACUCUUAACUAUGACCUAUCUGGUUAUGCUCUAUUCUUACAUGUUGAUUUUGUUAUGGA
rnacentral:lncRNA from 1 species